GACGAACGCUGGCGGCGUGCCUAAUACAUGCCAGUAGAACGCUGAAGGAGGAGCUUGCUUCUCUGGAUGAGUUGCGAACGGGUGAGUAACGCGUAGGUAACCUGCCUGGUAGCGGGGGAUAACUAUUGGAAUCGAUAGCUAAUACCGCAUAAGAGUAGAUGUUGCAUGACAUUUGCUUAAAAGGUGCAAUUGCAUCACUACCAGAUGGACCUGCGUUGUAUUAGCUAGUUGGUGAGGUAACGGCUCACCAAGGCAACGAUACAUAGCCGACCUGAGAGGGUGAACGGCCACACUGGGACUGAGACACGGCCCAGACUCCUACGGGAGGCAGCAGUAGGGAAUCUUCGGCAAUGGACGGAAGUCUGACCGAGCAACGCCGCGUGAGUGAAGAAGGUUUUCGGAUCGUAAAGCUCUGUUGUAAGGGAAGAACGAGUGUGAGAGUGGAAAGUUCACACUGUGACGGUAUCUUACCAGAAAGGGACGGCUAACUACGUG
rnacentral:rRNA from 1 species